rnacentral:lncRNA from 1 species
CUAAACAACUAGAUCAAGUACAAUUAAGCGCCCAGAAAAUUGCUUAAAUAACAUACAUGAUCAAUACGAUGCACACAAGUGCACUACAACUAAGAGCAAGAACCACGAGUGGAUGUACAAGUGUAUAAAGAGAGAUAGUCUAACUAUUACAACCAUUCAAUAGUUACAUCAUUUGGUUACAUUACAUUUUCAUCUUCCAAAAUGUAGAUACAUGUUUUUCCCAAAAUACAUCAUAGCUCUCCAAUGCCUAUCCAAAAUAUACAUCUUCUAGUACACGAGGGUACUCUAUAUGCAAAAAGGAAAGCUACUAACUACUCACUUAGGGCGCUAUGCCCUUGCCGCGAUCCUCGCUCGGCUCGCCCCUGUGUGUACCUGUACCCCAAAACCACAUGGGGUGAGAACUAUAUAAAAAUAGUUCCCAGUGGGUUCGGCCGCCGACUCCGCCGGUUUUCCCACUAGGUCUAAGCUGGCACAGAUAGAGAGAUAGAUAGAUAGAUAGAGAAAUAAACUGCAACUACUCUAUCAUGCCACCAAUGAUAACGAUGCAUGCAACAACUACUAUCAUGCUAGUAUCAUGUCAUGAGUAUAGAAAAGUACAUAGCAAUGCAAACUACAACAUACACUAUGUCUACUCAAGGUAAUAAUGCAAGUCUACUAUGCAUUUCAUGUUUAUUACCCAAUCUACUUGGCUAACCCGUAGGUUAAGCCCUCGACUCACUCUCAAUCUCAUAGGUGAGGAGAAGCUGCACUCGCACACCGAGACCGUCUGCGGGACAACUACGUCUGCCCCUAGUGAAGUACUCCGGAGACUCGUGCCUCGGUGGAGCGACCACCGACAAGCAAAAACAGACUAGUGAGUAUGAUC